ACAGAGGCUAAGGAGGAAGAAGCUGCUGUUGGGAAAACAGAGGAAGUUGCUGCUGCUCCUGUUGAAGCAGAGGAGGUUAAGGAAGUAGAAGCUGAAGCCGAGAAGGUUGAGGAGCCGGCUUCCGCCGUCGCUGUUGAGGAGCCAGUUUCCGCUGCCGCAGCCGUGGAGGAAACGGCACCGGAACCCGAAUCUGAGCCGGCUGUUGCUGAGGAGCCAGCUGCUGCUCCAGCUGAAGAACCAGUUGCAGAAGCUGUGGCGGAGCCAGUUGAGGAGCCAGCUGCAACAGAGGCAGAAGUUAUUGUGGAUAAGACUGAGGCCUGAAGAACUCGGUCGGGUAUUGGAUUAAUAUAUGGGGGGUUAUGUUUUUAGUAUGAAGAAGAUUAUCUCUGUUACUGUUUUUUGUUCUUUCUUUACUGGUUUAAGAAGUUUGGUGUGUUCUGGUGAUGGAUAGUAAUGUAUGGGGGAUGUGUUGUGGGUCCACGUAAGCAUUUUGUGGCGCCAUGUGGGUUUACAUAAUUGGGUGAGUUUCAAGAUUAAUUUUAUAUAAUUUGAUGAAACUUUGAUUUAUAUUACUAUACUUGGUAUGUGUUUUGUU
rnacentral:lncRNA from 1 species